rnacentral:rRNA from 1 species
AUGUCCCUCUACAUCAGUGAAAAUCUGAUUUUCCCCCUCCGGCUCUUCGAUCUACAGCGGCCGGGCUCAAUCUGCGGCGGAGACUACCAAGACGGCGCGACAGAGCUGCUUCUGCCGGUCGCAUGCAUGGGGCUGCUGCUGAUUCUCUGGCAUUUGAUGUGCACCCUUGGUCGCCCGGUCCGACGAACUGCUAACGAAACAAUGCCCAACAUCGUGAGUGUGCUCACGUUCUGCAAUCAAGCAACCGCCCUCCUCCAGCAGCAGCAAAAGAGAGUGCAGAGGAGCAGCAGCAACAACAACAACACGAGCACGGGAGAAGCUGGCGACAUGGGAGAAUCACGGGAGACAGUAGAGCUCCACCAGCAGGAGCUCGAGGAGAAGCAGCAGUGGGAGCUCGGGAAGAAACAGCAACCGGAGCUCAAGGAGAAGCAACAGCGGGAGCUCAAGGACGUGUGA